ACUGACCACCCCAAGGUAAGAGACUACUGCUCUAUAAUAACACUGACCACCCCAAGGUAAGAGACUACUGCUCUAUAAUAACACUGACCACCCCAAGGUAAGAGACUACUGCUGUAUAAUAACACUGACCACCCCAAGGUAAGAGACUACUGCUCUAUAAUAACACUGACCACCCCAAGGUAAGAGACUACUGCUGUAUAAUAACACUGACCACCCCAAGGUAAGAGACUACUGCUGUAUAAUAACACUGACCACCCCAAGGUAAGAGACUACUGCUCUAUAAUAACACUGACCACCCCAAGGUAAGAGACUACUGCUCUAUAAUAACACUGACCACCCCAAGGUAAGAGACUACUGCUCUAUAAUAACACUGACCACCCCAAGGUAAGAGACUACUGCUCUAUAAUAACACUGACCACCCCAAGGUAAGAGACUACUGCUGUAUAAUAACACUGACCACCCCAAGGUAAGAGACUACUGCUGUAUAAUAACACUGACCACCCCAAGGUAAGAGACUACUGCUCUAUAAUAACACUGACCACCCCAAGGUAAGAGACUACUGCUGUAUAAUAACACUGACCACCCCAAGGUAAGAGACUACUGCUCUAUAAUAACACUGACCACCCCAAGGUAAGAGACUACUGCUGUAUAAUAACACUGACCACCCCAAGGUAAGAGACUACUGCUCUAUAAUAACACUGACCACCCCAAGGUAAGAGACUACUGCUCUAUAAUAACAAUAACCACAUUGUAAUGAGUAGGACUGAUU